rnacentral:rRNA from 1 species
AGAGUUUGAUCCUGGCUCAGAUUGAACGCUGGCGGCACGCUUUACACAUGCAAGUCGAACGGUAACAGGCCGCAAGGUGCUGACGAGUGGCGAACGGGUGAGUAAUAUAUCGGGAACGUACCCGUGGAGUGGGGGAUAACGUAGCGAAAGUUACGCUAAUACCGCAUACGAUCUAAGGAUGAAAGUGGGGGAUCGCAAGACCUCAUGCUCCUGGAGCGGCCGAUAUCUGAUUAGCUAGUUGGUGGGGUAAAGGCCUACCAAGGCAUCGAUCAGUAGCUGGUCUGAGAGGACGACCAGCCACACUGGGACUGAGACACGGCCCAGACUCCUACGGGAGGCAGCAGGUGGGGUAAUUUUGGACAAGUGGGGGCAACCCUGAUCCAGCAAUGCCGCGUGAGUGAAGAAGGCCUUCGGGUUGUAAAGCUUCUUUUGUCAGGGAAGAAACGGUCUUGGUUAAUACCUGGGGCUAAUGACGGUACCUGAAGAAUAAGCACCGGCUAACUACGUG